CGAAAGGGAGGGGCGUCGCUUAAGGCGGAGGCUUAUUAAUAGGUUGCAGAGCCCGGUUCCCUCCAAAAUGUCGCUGGGAGGACAGUUCCCCUCAGCUUGCCAAAUGGUCCAGGAGGAGGGGAAUUGUUGGAGAAACCUCUUCUUAAGUGCCUCGAAGAGAGAGUGGUCCGGCUUUUUCGUCGCGCGCGAAGUCAACAUGACAUCUGGAUUAAUUUAGGGAAGUAUUAUUUUCCUCAGGAAAUAUUUGGAACAAUGUCAUUCACACUUUAAACAGAUGCUUAGGAAAACUUGGAGCUCAAACCUGCAUUUUCUUAACCUUGACAACACUUGUUGAGCUUUCAUAUGCUCUAAUACACAGGGAGAUUGACAGCUCUCAAUGAAUAACAAUGGAGACGUUCAUUCUGUCCCUGCUCCUAUACUUCAUUAUCAUUGUGAGAUUUCUGCCAAAAUUCUUCAGAUUCACAAGAGGACCAUCAAUAUGUUCAGAAAGUUUGAGACAAGAGAAAAAUUCACAUUGAAGGUCAUCCCUGAUAACUUGGAAUUGUGUACAUUUCAUAGCAAAAGGGAAAAAAGACGCAAUUUGUCCCCUUCCAAGAAUCUGGUCAACCCUGCAAGGUAAUUAAAUAUACAAGUGUGCAAGAUCACUUCAACAGGUAAGGAACCAGAGGCAUAGAAGCUGAAUGUGGCCCUGCAGGUCCCCCUGUCUGGCUCUCAGGACUCUUCUCAGGGCACAUCCCAUUGCUAGACCAUACCUGCUCUCCCCAAGCCACACCUCAUCUGCCCUGCUUCAUGUCUCCCUUUGAGUGUUUUUGCCUGCCUGGAAUGUGUCCUUGAACUGAGGUAAUGCCUCUGAAUUUUGUGUGGCUGGAAUGUAUCCUACAAAGGUCUUCAGGAGUGAUUACUUCUUGAAAACACUACAUACAGUGUGUUAUCCAAGCACUGAACAUGAGACAUGUCAAGCACAAACAGCAUCUAUUGACAUCAACAGGAAUUGUUGUUAUGAAUUCAGCACUGAAAUAGGUUGAGAAUAUUCAUAAUUAUACUAAGAAGCUCAAGAGGAUAGAACUGUGUGUUCCCUAACUUCCUGCAAGAUGAGUAAAAUUUCUUCUGGAUGCUUUUUGACAAUCCAAAAAACAUUACAAGGAUAAUCUCAUUACAUUUGCCAAAAAAGAAGCCCUGACUGGAUCUGCAUGAAAAUCACAGUGAUAUAUUAACUACUAGAUCUUCACGGCAGAUCCCAUAACCACACAAUGAUGUGUGUUUUUGGACGAGGCAGAUAUAUUUUCCACUGGGGAUAUCUGUAUUGAUGGCAGGAAGCAGGUUCUUUAGCCACUUCAGAUCCUGCCCACAUCAACCAUGUGGAUAGAUGGGGAACUAGGGUGCACUGAAUCUUGUCAUUUAUGGAUAGUGGGGGCUGAAUGUCUCAUUCCCAAUAAGCCUCACUAACAUGCCUCACAUAAAAAGCUGCCUACUGCUUACGGAACGAUAUAUGGGUACAAUAUUACCAAAAUAAAUUCUGGGACUUAUCAGAUAGAUUUUA